rnacentral:rRNA from 1 species
GACGUAGGGCGCGAGCGUUGUCCGGAUUUAUUGGGCGUAAAGAGCUCGUAGGCGGCUUGUUGCGUCAGCUGUGAAAACCUAAGGCUCAACCUUGGGCUUGCAGUGGGUACGGGCAGACUAGAGUGCGGUAGGGGUGACUGGAAUUCCUGGUGUAGCGGUGGAAUGCGCAGAUAUCAGGAGGAACACCGAUGGCGAAGGCAGGUCACUGGGCCGCAACUGACGCUGAGGAGCGAAAGCAUGGGGAGCGAACAGG